GAUGAACGCUGGCGGCGUGCCUAAUACAUGCAAGUCGAGCGAACAGACGAGGAGCUUGCUCCUCUGACGUUAGCGUCGGUCGGGUGAGUAAUACUUUGAUAACCUACCUAUAAUACUGGGAUAACUUCGGGAAACCUGAUCUAAUACCGGAUAAUAUAUUGAACCUCAUGGUUCAAUAGUGAAUGUCGGUUUUUCUGUUUCUUAUAUAUGUAUCCUCGCGGCAUUAGAUAGUUGGUAAGGUAACGACUUACAAAGGCAACGAUUAGAAGCCGAACUGAGAGGAUGAUCGGCCACACUGGAACUGAGACACGGACCAGAAACGUAAGGGAGGCAGCAGUAGGGAAUAUUCCGGAAUGGGCGAAAGCAUGACGGAGCAAAGCGGCGUGAGUGAUGAAGGUCUACGGAGCGUAAAACACUGUUAUUAGGGAAGAAAAAAAGUGUAAGUAAAAAUGAACGUAAUGACGGUACCUAAAAAAAAAGCCACGGCUAACUACGUG
rnacentral:rRNA from 1 species